CUGUUGCCAGCAGCUGACCUUGAUUAUACCAUAAUUACAGCUGAGAUCUAAGCCUGGUUCAGAGCAGCGUUUGCUUAUCUCCCGAUUACAAGUGGCUAUUUUCUCAUAUGAGGUAUUUGUGGGAGACUCAAGGUUGGCUGCUGACAUUUGAGUAUUACAAAUGUCUGAGGAAGCAUUGAAACAGUUUAACAAUCCAGAAUAACCGUCAUCUUUGUAUUGUGUCAUUCUCCAGAAGCAAUGAAGCAUUGUUACACAUUGUUACAUAUUGUUGUUUCAGGUCCCCUGUUUUGGGUCUCCCAAUAUCUUUAUCUAUUCUGUGAUUCACAGUGCUUGUUUUUAUAGUUUUGCUAGUUUUCAUUUCAGCUGCAUGCCACAGUGCUUUUCAUUUUUCUUUACAAAUUUGGGUAGUGACUUCUUUGUGAGUUUUCUGAUUCGAUAUAAUGCAGGUUGCUAUGUUCCCAUGUGCUUAGACCUUAAAGUUGGCAUGAUUUAAAUAUAAA